UGUUGUUCGAUAAACUGCACAACGUAGUUUUAAUAAAUAACCUUUUACCUUGAAAUUGUCUUUGGCUCGUUUAUAUUCAGAUUCAGUAUAUUAUGAUCGUGCACGGGAAUUCGACGAUCCAAAUUUCGAAUUUUCAGAGUCGUGCACCAACGAAAACGCAUUAAAUAAACUAGCAUGAAUGUCCUGAGUUUGACACAAUGCAAAAUCCAUAGAAAACAGGUACAAUUCGGCCAAAAUUUUCACCCAAUUGGGCACGGAAUUGUUUGAAACAUUUUGCCCACUUCACGAAAGGCCCCGC